rfam:Cricetulus griseus cell line CHO-K1, whole genome shotgun sequence.
GCAGAGAAGGCUCAGUGGUUAAGAGUACUUGCUGCUCUUCCAGAGGACCUGGGUUCAAAUUCCCAGCAUCUGUA